GACGAACGCUGGCGGCGUGCUUAACACAUGCAAGUCGAACGGAAAGGCCCUGCUUUUGUGGGGUGCUCGAGUGGCGAACGGGUGAGUAACACGUGAGUAACCUGCCCUUGACUUUGGGAUAACUUCAGGAAACUGGGGCUAAUACCGGAUAGGAGCUCCUGCUGCAUGGUGGGGGUUGGAAAGUUUCGGCGGUUGGGGAUGGACUCGCGGCUUAUCAGCUUGUUGGUGGGGUCGUGGCUUACCAAGGCUUUGACGGGUAGCCGGCCUGAGAGGGUGACCGGCCACAUUGGGACUGAGAUACGGCCCAGACUCCUACGGGAGGCAGCGGUGGGGUAGAUUGCACAAUGGGCGGAAGCCUGAUGCGGCAACGCCGCGUGCGGGAUGACGGCCUUCGGGUUGUGAACCGCUGUCGCCUGUGACGAGGCGUGAGUGACGGUAAUGGGUAAAGAAGCACCGGCUAACUACGUG
rnacentral:rRNA from 1 species